GUUUUCCUACGGGGGGCAGCAGUGGGGGAUAUUGGACAAUGGGGGGAACACUGAUCCAGCGACGCCGCGUGAGUGAAGAAGUAUUUCGGUAUGUAAAGCUCUGUCAGCAGGGAAGAAAGAAAUGACGGUACCUGACCAAGAAGCCCCGGCUAACUACGUGCCAGCAGCCGCGGUAAUACGUAGGGGGCAAGCGUUAUCCGGAAUUACUGGGUGUAAAGGGCGCGUAGACGGUUAAGUAAGUCUGGAGCGAAAGGCCGGG
rnacentral:rRNA from 1 species